AAUCAUGUGCACAUGAGACCACAGCUCAUCAAAAAUAAGUGAUAAUCCAAUUGCCGCGAGAAUAACCUGGAGAGACUUUGACAGCACAGGGCAGCAAAAUACCUGUAUCUGCCACUUGUCUUUUAUUUCAGG
ensembl:snoRNA